UACGAAGGGAACUAGCGUUGUCCGGAAUCAUUGGGCGUAAAGCGCGUGUAGGCGGUCCGGUAAGUCCGCUGUGAAAUCCCGGGGCUCAACCUCGGAAUUGCAGUGGGUACGGGCAGACUAGAGUGUGGUAGGGGAGACUGGAAUUCCUGGUGUAGCGGUGGAAUGCGCAGAUAUCAGGAGGAACACCGAUGGCGAAGGCAGGUCUCUGGGCCAUUACUGACACUGAGAAGCGAAAGCAUGGGGAGCGAACAGG
rnacentral:rRNA from 1 species